AGGUGCAGUAUCUUUGACAUUUGUUAAAAUACCUUUAAGUUCAGGGAGAGUAAAAAGGAACACUUUAUCAGCUGCUUCAUUUAAUAAUGUGCAUAAGGCAUCUGCACAUUCACACGGAUCAUUUAUUGAAACAUUUGGAAGAGAGGAUAUACUGUUUUCAACAAUUGAUUUAAAAUUACCCCAAUCUCCAUCAUUCAACCUAUAUUUAAUUCUUGGACCUUGUUGAGGGAUUUUUAAAUAUUUCUGAGGAAACUUAAUUAAAAUUGGGAAGUGAUCACUUCCAAAGGUGGAAUCCAUAGUAUUCCAGGACAAAGUGGAAGCUAAAUUUGGAGUGCAAAUGGAUAAAUCAAUAGCGCUUAAGAUUCCAUCAGGACCAGUGCGAUGUGUUGGACUACCAGUAUUCAGGAUGCAAAGAUUAUGAGUAUCUAAAAGUUCCAAAACAGCUUCUCCAUUGGAGUUAGAGAUGGAACUGCCCCAUGAUCUAUGAUGUGAAUUGAAGUCCCCUAGCAAUAUAAAUGGCCGAGGUAAAGAAGAAAGCAUAUUAUUAAUUUCAAUGAAAACGA